AUUGAACGCUGGCGGCAGGCCUAACACAUGCAAGUCGAACGAGUGGCGUACGGGUGAGUAAUGUCUGGGAAACUGCCUGAUUGAUUGGGAUAACUACUUGCAACGGUAGCUAAUACCGCAUACCCUCGGAUGUGCCCAGAUGGGAUUAGCUAGUAGGUGGGGUAACGGCUCACCUAGGCGACGAUCACUAGCUGGUCUGAGAGGAUGACCAGGCACACUGGAACUGAGAAACGGUCCAGACUCCUACGGGAGGCAGCAGUGGGGAAUAUUGCACAAUGGGCGAAAGCCUGAUGCAGCCAGGCCGCGUGUAUGAAGAAGGCCUUCGGGUUUUAAAGUACUUUCAGCGGGGAGGCGUUACCCGCAGAAGAAGCACCGGCUAACUCCGUGCCAGCAGCCGCGGUAAUAC
rnacentral:rRNA from 1 species